AUGGCAACGAAAUUAUUAACUUUAAUCGCUUCCACUUUUCUGUUGCUGACUUUGAUCAGCAGCAACAUCAACGUGGUUGCAGCGGAGACAGAAGCUGGUGCCGUUGACGAUUUGAACUUAGGGAAUUUUAAUGAUAAAGCAAAUGGAGUUCUUCAAGAUGCUAUUGAUGAGGAAGAAAGUGAAGAAGACAGCGAUGAAGCAGACGACGAAAAUGAUAGCAAAGAGAUCGUAAAGAAAAACAAAGAUAAAAAAGAAACCCGCAAAGAGUCGAGUACAAGCAAAAGUGAAGCAGAUGCCAAAGAAUUGAAGGAAGAUGUAGAUAAAGAAGGUGAGUAUGCCCGAAAGCUGAAUAAGCAAGAACGCAUAAAUUUUCGAUUGACUUCGGAAAAGUGUCUUACCACAAUUAGAAGUAUUAAGUCCGUACUAAAUUUAGAUCAAAAACGACCCGUUGGCACUUUAAUGAAACAAUUUAUUGAAAACUUUAUUCUAAUAAAAUAUCUGCAUUAUUUUGAUUUAGUUGUCGAUAACCCUAAAAAUAAAAGAGGUAAAAAUGGCGGCGAUCGCAAAAGAAAACGUAAUAACUUGAGAAAUCGUAAAAGAAAACAAGCAAUCGCUGAAGCCAAACUCCAAGAGCUUACUCUGUUGGAAAAUGCGCAAGAGGAAGAAAAGAACAUUAGAGCUGAACCAACAACAGAGAGUAUCGAAGAUUCAGAGACCAGAGACCAGUACCGAAACUGUAACGGAAGAAUCGAAAGACACUAAACGAGAGACUACUAAGAAACCGAGUGCCAAGAAACCUAAAGCACGACCGGCAAAAUCUGCAAAGCGCAGUACUAAAAAAUUCAAGGUCACUGGAAUACCGUUUCCGAAAAAUAACAAAGGUAAAAGGGGGAAUGGUAAAAAGAGGCAGAAGCAGAAGCAGAAGGGACGAGGUAGACGAAGACCGAAGUUCGGAAAGAGCCUCUAAAGGAAAUUAGUAUCUUAAUUCAUUUCUUAAUAUUUAAGUAGCUUUUAUGUAAAUAUUAUUUAUUAUUAUAUGGAG